CCAGACUCCUACGGGAGGCAGCAGUGGGGAAUAUUGCACAAUGGGGGGAACCCUGAUGCAGCGACGCCGCGUGGGUGAAGGAGCACCUCGGUGCGUAAAGCCCUAUCGGCAGGGAAGAAAAGCGAACAGGCUCGCCUGGACGGUACCUGACUAAGAAGCCCCGGCUAACUACGUGCCAGCAGCCGCGGUAAUGCGUAGGGGGCGAGCGUUAUCCGGAUUCACUGGGUGUAAAGGGAGCGUAGACGGCCGUGCAAGCCAGGAGUGAAAGCCCGGGGCCCAACCCCGGGACUGCUCUUGGAACUGUGCGGCUGGAGUGCGGGAGGGGCAGGCGGAAUUCCUGGUGUAGCGGUGAAAUGCGUAGAUAUACGGAGGAACACCAGUGGCGAAGGCGGCCUGCUGGACAUUAACUGACGCUGAGGCGCGAAAGCGUGGGGAGCAAACAGGAUUAGAUACCCGGGUAUCG
rnacentral:rRNA from 1 species